rnacentral:rRNA from 1 species
UUGGAGGGCAAGUCUGGUGCCAGCAGCCGCGGUAAUUCCAGCUCCAAUAGCGUAUAUUAAAGUUGUUGCAGUUAAAAAGCUCGUAGUUGAAUUUCGGGAUCAAAUAAUCGGUCGUGCCUCCGGUACGUACUGGUUUUAUUGGUUCCUCCCUUCUGACGAACCAUGAUGUCAUUAAUUUGAUGUGGUGGAGAAUCAGGACUGUUACCUUGAAAAAAUUAGAGUGUUUAAAGCAGGCUAACGCUUGAAUACAUUAGCAUGGAAUAAUGAAAUAGGACGUUCGACCCUAUUUUGUUGGUUUCUAGGAUCGACGUAAUGAUUAAUAGGGAUAGUUGGGGGCAUUAGUAUUCAAUUGUCAGAGGUGAAAUUCUUGGACUUAUUGAAGACUAACUACUGCGAAAGCAUUUGCCAAGGAUGUUUUCAUUAAUCAAGAACGAAAGUUAGGGGAUCGAAGACGAUCAGAUACCGUCGUAGUCCUAACCAUAAACUAUGCCGACUAGGGAUCGGAUGAUGUUAAUUUUUUAAUGACUCAUUCGGCGCCUUACGGGAAAC